rnacentral:rRNA from 1 species
UACGGGAGGCAGCAGUGGGGAAUAUUGCGCAAUGGGGGAAAGCCUGACGCAGCAACGCCGCGUGCGGGAUGACGGCCUUCGGGUUGUAAACCGCUUUCAGCAGGGACGAAACUGACGGUACCUGCAGAAGAAGCACCGGCUAAAUACGUGCCAGCAGCCGCGGUGAUACGUAGGGUGCGAGCGUUGUCCGGAAUUAUUGGGCGUAAAGAGCUCGUAGGCGGUCUGUCGCGUCGGAAGUGAAAACUCGGGGCUUAACCCCGAGCCUGCUUUCGAUACGGGCAGACUUGAGGAAUGUAGGGGAGAACGGGAUUCCUGGUGGAGCGGUGGAAUGCGCAGAUAUCAGGAGGAACACCAGUGGCGAAGGCGGUUCUCUGGACAUUAACUGACGCUGAGGAGCGAAAGCGUGGGGAGCAAACCGGGUUAGAUACCCCGGUAGUCCCCGCCGUAAACGGUGGGCACUAGGUGUGGGGGACAUUCCACGUUCUUCCGUGCCGUAGCGAACGCA